GAUGAACGCUGACAGAAUGCUUAACACAUGCAAGUCAACUUGAAUUUGGGUUUUUAACUUAGGUUUGGGUGGCGGACGGGUGAGUAACGCGUAAAGAACUUGCCUCACAGCUAGGGACAACAUUUGGAAACGAAUGCUAAUACCUAAUAUUAUGAUAAUAGGGCAUCCUAUAAUUAUGAAAGCUAUAAGCGCUGUGAGAGAGCUUUGCGUCCCAUUAGCUAGUUGGAGAGGUAACGGCUCACCAAGGCGAUAAUGGGUAGCCGGCCUGAGAGGGUGAUCGGCCACAAGGGGACUGAGACACGGCCCUUACUCCUACGGGAGGCAGCAGUGGGGAAUAUUGGACAAUGGACCGAGAGUCUGAUCCAGCAAUUCUGUGUGCACGAUGAAGUUUUUCGGAAUGUAAAGUGCUUUCAGUUGGGAAGAAACAAAUGACGGUACCAACAGAAGAAGUGACGGCUAAAUACGUG
rnacentral:rRNA from 1 species